rnacentral:misc_RNA from 1 species
GAAUGCGAUAACUAGUGUGAAUUGCAGAAUUCCGUGAAUCAUCGAGUCUUUGAACGCACAUUGCGCCCCCUGGUAUUCCGGGGGGCAUGCCUGUCCGAGCGUCAUUGCUGCCCAUCAAGCACGGCUUGUGUGUUGGGUCGUCGUCCCCUCUCCGGGGGGGACGGGCCCCAAAGGCAGCGGCGGCACCGCGUCCGAUCCUCGAGCGUAUGGGGCUUUGUCACCCGCUCUGUAGGCCCGGCCGGCGCUUGCCGAACGCAAAUCAAUCUUUUUCCAGGUUGACCUCGGAUCAGGUAGGGAUACCCGCUGAACUUAAGC